rnacentral:rRNA from 1 species
GAUGAACGCUGGCGGCGUGCCUAAUACAUGCAAGUCGAGCGAACGGACGAGAAGCUUGCUUCUCUGAUGUUAGCGGCGGACGGGUGAGUAACACGUGGAUAACCUACCUAUAAGACUGGGAUAACUUCGGGAAACCGGAGCUAAUACCGGAUAAUAUUUUGAACCGCAUGGUUCAAAAGAGAAAGACGGUCUUGCUGUCACUUAUAGAUGGAUCCGCGCUGCAUUAGCUAGUUGGUAAGGUAACGGCUUACCAAGGCAACGAUGCAUAGCCGACCUGAGAGGGUGAUCGGCCACACUGGAACUGAGACACGGUCCAGACUCCUACGGGAGGCAGCAGUAGGGAAUCUUCCGCAAUGGGCGAAAGCCUGACGGAGCAACGCCGCGUGAGUGAUGAAGGUCUUCGGAUCGUAAAACUCUGUUAUUAGGGAAGAACAUAUGUGUAAGUAACUGUGCACAUCUUGACGGUACCUAAUCAGAAAGCCACGGCUAACUACGUG